rnacentral:rRNA from 1 species
CUUUUUAAUUGAGGGCUGGUAUGAAGGGUAGAUACUAAUAGGAUUUGUUUUAUUUUAUGAAUUUGAAUUUAAAUUAAAAGUAAAAAUGCUUUUAUAAAUUCUAGGGACGAGAAGACCCUAGAAGCUUAGAAUUUAAGAAUUUUUUAUUGGGGCAAUAUUUGAAGAAAAAGAUUUUUAAAGGAGAACAUUAAAAAAAAAGAAGUUACUCUAGGGAUAACAGCAUAAUUUGAUUAACAAGUUCUUAUUAAUAAUUGGGAUUGUGACCUCGAUGUUGAAUUAAAUUGAAUAUUUGGUGAAGGAGCUUUACAAUUUAGUCUGUUCGACUAUAAAAAUUUUACGUGAUCUGAGU